UCGGUAAUUACGAUUAUUCACGUAAUUACGUCCUAAUUUUUUUUUCCGAGCUAUUUUAAUUCUCUUAUUAUGUCUACCAUUUUAUUGUGACAUAAUAUCAUUAUUGAAGCCUAAUUUUAUUUUCCACCUAAAGCAAGACUAUCAUUUUGUUUGUUUUUCCAGUCAAGCUAAAGUCAAAUUCUUAUUCAUCAUUCAUUAUUUCUACACGUGUACUUGGAGCUUGGAAAAAUAUAAGCUAAUUUGUUGACUUUUCUUCUUCCCUAAAAGCAUGUCAAAAUUCAUGGAAAAAAAAAAAAAAAACUCAAACUCAUUUUCCACCUUUUUCUUUUAUACAUGUAAGCAAGAAGUAUUCACAGCCAUUAUAACUUUCCAAAUGUUGAUAUUUCUCUAUUUUCUUUGACUUUCAAGUUCAUAGCAAAGAUGAUUCUUCCUUCUCCUCUGCGUGUCAAGCAUGUUAAGAGCCAGAUGUCUGAAACUUUUAUGUAAUUUCAUGACUCAUCAUGUCACAUAAACUCUAUAAAUAGCCAUUAAAAUCCAGUCAUCUUCAAGCUCAAAAAUCCAUCUCCAUUUAUGAAUUUGUUGGGUAAAUUAACAUUGUUUCUUCUUUCCUUAUUUCGUGGGUUAUGGCUGCCAUAGCCAAACAAUUCAAGCUCCAUAUCUCACCAAUAAUAACCACAAGAACACCAAUUCAAGCCCAGAAAUUUGUAAACCCAAAACAUAUUACCAUUUUUCGGACAUUUUCUCUCUCCUCUGUUUCACCACCGUGGCACCACCUUCUGACCACCGGCGCCACUUCCAUCCCCGACCCUGCGCCACCUCUCUCUGUCGCCGAGUCUAGCACGCCGUCGUGGCCCCCGCUGCUAUGGUGCGUUGUUUUGUGAAGUUGCUGCAAUUGCCCCUGCUUCUUUGGUUUCCCAAAUGGUUCAAAGAACCAAAUUUUACUCCGUAUGUUACUGCUCCUUUCUUUAAUUGAGGUUGGUAGACAAAGUAAACUUGCAUUUAAGUGGGCCUUGAUGGAACAUCUAUUAUUAUGGGCUGAUAAAAGACAGUAAGUAUUAACAUACUUUUAGCUUUAUAAACAUUAUUUUGGUAAUAACUUAUUUCUAAUUUUUGAAGAUCUUAUGUUAUAAUAUUGGACAAUAAGGUAUAAACGCAACUAAUGAGGAAUAUACGGUGAAUUUGAGAUCUAUAGGGUGAUGAUAAAUAAGGAUUAAGCAGAUUGGAUUUUCGAACGAGGUAAUUAUUAUGUCUAGCAUUUUAUCUUAUAUGCCCGUAUAUGUUAUGUAAUUUUUAUGUUCAGCAUUUAAGCUUUAUAUGCCCGUAUAUAACAUGUGUGACUAUUAUGUGAUUAUAUGUUUAUUAUGUGUUUUAUGUGAUAAAUGAUGAUAUAUGUUUAUGAUUAUGAUCAUGACGAUAUGUUAAAGUAUUUUAUUAUUUUAUGAUGUUAAAGACGUUGUUCGGAAAUAAUUAUGAUAUUUAUAAAGUUAUUUUAAAGAAAGACGAUGUUGCUUUUGUCGGCAUGGAAAAGUGAACUGAACUAGUAAAUGGGCAAGUUACAGGUAGAGGCAAGUUAAAGUUUGGGAAACAGUUCCCCCCUGAAAAGAUGUAAGAAAAGUCCCGCCAAAGCCUGUACUUGCCAAUGAGCUGUAAAGGAAAUGAUUCCUUGCCGGCACAGUUUUCAAGAUAACGAGAUUAAAUUAGUUAUUUCCGAACAAUAAAUGCUAAUGAUUGAUAUGUGCCAAAUGAUUUUCAAAAUAAAACCGUUUUGACGGGCUGGAGUAAUUAUUAUGUCUAGCAUUUUAUCUUAUAUGCCCGUAUAUGUUAUGUAAUUUUUAUGUUCAGCAUUUAAGCUUUAUAUGCCCGUAUAUAACAUGUGUGACUAUUAUGUGAUUAUAUGUUUAUUAUGUGUUUUAUGUGAUAAAUGAUGAUAUAUGUUUAUGAUUAUGAUCAUGACGAUAUGUUAAAGUAUUUUAUUAUUUUAUGAUGUUAAAGACGUUGUUCGGAAAUAAUUAUGAUAUUUAUAAAGUUAUUUUAAAGAAAGACGAUGUUGCUUUUGUCGGCAUGGAAAAGUGAACUGAACUAGUAAAUGGGCAAGUUACAGGUAGAGGCAAGUUAAAGUUUGGGAAACAGUUCCCCCCUGAAAAGAUGUAAGGAAAGUCCCGCCAAAGCCUGUACUUGCCAAUGAGCUGUAAAGGAAAUGAUUCCUUGCCGGCACAGUUUUCAAGAUAACGAGAUUAAAUUAGUUAUUUCCGAACAAUAAAUGCUAAUGAUUGAUAUGUGCCAAAUGAUUUUCAAAAUAAAACCGUUUUGACGGGCUGGAGUAAUAUUACUGAGUUUUCCACUCAUUUUUGUAUUUUCUGUGUUUUUCCUGUUUUCUAUUUUUAUGAUGAUGCACAGGUUCGAUUAAGGAGCUCAAGUUGCGCAAACGAUAGUUAUUACUGGAGUUGGUUAUUUAUUAUGGAGAUAUCGAGAUGGGAAGUAUUUAUAAUGGGAAUCCUGUUAUUGAGAUUUAAUUAUGAGAAUACUGUUUAUAUUUAUUUUUGGGAAAAUUUGUAUUAUUUAAGAAAUGUUAUUUGAGGAUUAUUUUAUUUGUGGGCCCAUACCCACAGGUCCCAGGGUUAAUUAAGCCUAAUUGCGCUGGCAAUGAUCAGUUAAGUACGGUUUAUUACCGAUAA